UGGGGAAUAUUGGACAAUGGGCGAAAGCCUGAUCCAGCCAUGCCGCGUGUGUGAAGAAGGUCUUCGGAUUGUAAAGCACUUUAAGUUGGGAGGAAGGGCAGUAAGCGAAUACCUUGCUGUUUUAACGUUACCGACAGAAUAAGCACCGGCUAACUCUGUGCCAGCAGCCGCGGUAAUACAGAGGGUGCAAGCGUUAAUCGGAAUUACUGGGCGUAAAGCGCGCGUAGGUGGUUCGUUAAGUUGAAUGUGAAAGCCCCGGGCUCAACCUGGGAACUGCAUCCAAAACUGGCGAGCUAGAGUAGGGCAGAUGGUGGUGGAAUUUCCUGUGUAGCGGUGAAAUGCGUAGAUAUAGGAAGGAACACCAGUGGCGAAGGCGACCACCUGGGCUCAUACUGACACUGAGGUGCGAAAGCGUGGGGAGCAAACAGG
rnacentral:rRNA from 1 species